UUCUGGUUGAUCCUGCCGGAGGCUACCGCUAUUGGAGUUCGAUUAAGCCAUGCGAGUCGAGAGUCUUAGGGACUCGGCGUACCGCUCAGUAACACGUGGGUAACCUGCCCUAUGCUGGGGAAUAACCUCGGGAAACUGAGAAUAAUACCCCAUAGUUCACCACGCCUGGAACGGUGGGUGGAUGAAAGCUCCGGCGGCAUAGGAUGGGCCUGCGACGUAUCAGGUUGUAGGGGGUGUAACGUACCCUCUAGCCAUCAACGCGUACGGGUGUUGGGAGACAUAGCCCGGAGAUGGAUUCUGAGACACGAAUCCAGACCCUACGGGGUGCAGCAGGCGCGAAAACUUGGCAAUGCGAGCAAUCGUGACCAGGGAACUCCAAGUGGCUGGGGUAAUACCCAGUUUUUUCUUGACUCUUCAAAGGUCUUGGAAUAAGGGGUGGGUAAGGACGGUGCCAGCCGCCGCGGUAAUACCGGCGCCUCAAGUGGUAGUCGCUUUUAUUGGGCCUAAAACGUCCGUAGCCGGUCUGGUGCAUUCGUGGGUAAAUCAACCCGCUCAACGGGUUGAAUUCUGCGAGCACGGCCAGACUUGGGACCGGGAGAGGUGUGGGGUACUCUCAGGGUAGGGGUAAAAUCCUGUCAUCCUGAGAGGACCACCUGUUGCGAAGGCGCCACACUAGAACGGAUUCGACGGUCAGGGACGAAACCUAGGGGCACGAACCGGAUUAGAUACCCGGGUAGUCCUAGGUGUAAACGCUGUGGACUUGAUG
rnacentral:rRNA from 1 species